CCGAGUUAACAACUCAUCAACCCUGUGAACCUACCCUAAUCGUUGCCUCGGCGGGAACAGACGGCCCUAACGGGGGACCCGCCAGAGGACCCUAAACUCUUGCUUUUCGUACUAAUGUUUGUCUGAGUUGCUAACAAGCAAAAUAAAUCA
rnacentral:misc_RNA from 1 species